CUCAUCGGAAGUGGUGAAAUAAUGGACUUUAAAUGCCUUCAAACGGGUUAAGAAUCCAAAAGAAUCGAGUAUCGAGUAUGACGUGGAUAUGAUUGAGUAUACACGUGUCAAUUUCAGUCGGAUCGAGUGACCGUGCAUCGAGGAAUGAGUAACGAGCCAUCAGAUAACGAGUGACGAGCCAUCGAAGAUCGAGUAAAUUUGUAUUGACAGACACACGGGAUACAUCUCAGGGACGAAUCGGUAGAAUCACAUGCUUAUGAUGUAAACAUAAGACCAUUUUCCAUAUUUCUCCCGAGGUGACCAUUUUUCACCUGGCCAUUCCAAAUGAGACAAUCCGUACCAAAAAAAAAAAACCUCCGGCGAACCCGUUUAUCUAUGAAUAAAACAUCUCCCUCUCCCUCUUCCGUUUCUUCUUCUCCGGCCAGCACCCACGCUCCUUUUCCGGCGACGACGUACAGCAGCAAACAGCGACCCCUGCGCACCCCGAGGACGCCUUGCAGCAGUCUCACCCACGCGAUCGAUGGCGCCUCCUUUCUCCGACGGCCGGCAGCCGUGACUGCUGCAGCGACUCGUGCAAUAGCCCGCGAUAUCACGAAAUCGGGCCUUGAGUCGUUUCGAUUGAUCUCGAAUCUGAAUGCCCUCCCUAACGCCUUAAGAUCUUCAACUUCGGACUCCUUCAAACACCAACCAGCAAGGUUUCGAGCCAUUUUGGUGAAGUUCAGUUUGGAUCAGUAGAGUGUUCGAUUAGGCUUCAAGGGUGAUUUUGGGUAGGAACAUCCCUCCCGAACCUGAACACUCUCUCAAGAAUCUUGAAUCGAGUGCUAACCUAUAAAUGUUUUUCCGUGUUUGGGAACCUUCAGGCCUGUUUUGAGAAUAUUGUAGUUGCAGUCAGAUUUCAUGUUGAGCAGGCACGUGGAUCCAAAUCUUACGGACUUACUUAAGGUCUGCAAAAGCAUAAAUUCAAAAACUGCAUGUCUCGAGUCUUGACUCUAAAUCUAGGAUCAAUUAUCACAGGCCUCCUUCUCAAGGUCUAACUUCUCCAUGGCAUUUCCCUAUGUGGCUGCACCAGAAAGGGGUACAAUUGAAAAUUUAUUGAUCUCAGAGUUCAAAAGAUCAUGUGUGCAUGACCUCAGAAUUGACAAUCAUUCCAGAGACUUCCACUGCUGCAUUCCAUCCAUGAUUAUAUGGUUUCAAGAAUGGAAAAGAAGCAAAAGGGAGAGACAGAUUUGGUAGUUUUCUCUUCUGUGAUGGAGGUCUCAGUUCUUCAAAAGAAGUCAAUCCAUGGACUUCUGAAAGCAAAACUUUGUUGGAGAUGAUGACUUCAGCAGAGCAUAUCGGGGCAAAAUAUGAAAUUCUCUAUAUAUCAGAUCCCUUUAGGUCCAUUCGCCAUUCUUAUAUGGAGCUGGGAAGAUUUAUUGCUGAAGGUUCCCGUUCCUCUCAAAAUGGAUCAGCUAAAUCAGAAAAUUUUUGUGAUGAAGUCCGCCAAAUUAAAUCAUCUCUCCUUGGGGGCCUCUUUGUUGUGAUUCACUAACUUUUAAGAUGUGAUAUUUUAGCUUUAUGAUUUGAAUAUUUUGGUUAUACCUCAAGUAAAAGUGGACACAUUAACCUAUUAUCAACUGGACCCGACAUCUAGAGAACCCACUUUAAAGUUCAAACACUAAAGUUAAUUAAAAGAAUUACUCUUGGAUAUCUGGUUAGUUGUUGAGACCGUUCUUUGACCAUGCUUGUUUCACUGCUCUAGGAGUUUGUUUCUUUGACCAUUAGUCUCUUUUGAUUAAUUCUAUAUAAAGUUCUGUCUCUUGUUCAAAAAUAAAGCUUCACAACUCUCGGAAUUGUAGUCUCUCUUUCAAUAUGUUUUCAUCUCGUUGUGCACUUGUUUCAUUUCAUGAGUCCUGUUAAAUUUGUGUCAUUCUGGCUUACAUUUGCUUCCAAUCUUCAACUAUGCAGGGGAUCGUUUUGCUUAUAAUCCUAAUAUCAGGCCUUUGUUAUAUGAUGGGUCUUGACACCCCAACCAGAUUUGAGACACCUCAAGAUUCUUAAAGCACGUUUCUCAGAAUAGUUGCAUAAAAUUGCUUUGGUGAUGUGUUUCGGAGGGAGAAAGCUUUGUCAUACGGGGUUGGUGGCACAUGCGUGCAAACAGGUGCUGGAGUUGGUGUGGGAGUGUGCUUUUGAGGACUAGAGGGGAGUAGGCUUGCAUCGUUGUACAUCGUUGCCACAAGCGCUUGAGAGCGUCGUAGUAAUACUUCUUCAACCAUUUUUGUUGGACGUUAGAUGUGAUUCUUUCACCCUCAAUCAAACACAAAUCAUGUGAAAUUAAGCUUCAAUCGACCAUGUACAUGGCUUGUACGUGUAUUUUCCCUCAUUCGUGACUAGUUGACUUGUCUAUUCUCAAGGUCAAGUCUUAAGGCUCAACCUUGCUAUAUGCUAGGCUAAAGUCAUCACAAGCAACGUUGCAUCUAAAUUCACCAUCUUGGUUCUUAACAACACGGCCCCCAGGCUUCUGUAUCGUAUUAGAACUUUAUUAAGAUGAGUUUGGAACCUUUGUUGGAUCAAAACAGAUAGGUGAUUCAAACACUUACUAGGACUUGUCGGGAACAAUAAUGUUUACCGGACUUUACUGGCCUAUUUUAGUGCCAACUAAGCUUCUACCGACCUAUUUGUCGCUUACGAACUUUACUUGGCCAUUACAAUGCUUACUGGUACAACUUGCAAUAGUACUACGUCAACCUA